rnacentral:rRNA from 1 species
GACGAACGCUGGCGGCAGGCUUAACACAUGCAAGUCGAACGCAUCCUUCGGGGUGAGUGGCAGACGGGUGAGUAACGCGUGGGAACGUGCCCUUCAGUUCGGGAUAACCCAGGGAAACUUGGGCUAAUACCGGAUACGUGCGAGAGCAGAAAGAUUUAUCGCUGAAGGAUCGGCCCGCGUCUGAUUAGCUAGUUGGUGGGGUAAUGGCCCACCAAGGCGACGAUCAGUAGCUGGUCUGAGAGGAUGAUCAGCCACAUAGGGACUGAGACACGGCCCAAACUCCUACGGGAGGCAGCAGUGGGGAAUAUUGGACAAUGGGCGCAAGCUUGAUCCAGCCAUGCCGCGUGAGUGAUGAAGGCCUUAGGGUUGUAAAGCUCUUUCGUCCGGGACGAUAAUGACGGUACCGGAAGAAGAAGCCCCGGCUAACUUCGUGCCAGCCGCCGCGGUAAUAC